rnacentral:rRNA from 1 species
AGUGAACGCUGGCGGUAGGCCUAACACAUGCAAGUCGAACGGCAGCACAGUAAGAGCUUGCUCUUACGGGUGGCGAGUGGCGGACGGGUGAGGAAUACAUCGGAAUCUACUUUUUCGUGGGGGAUAACGUAGGGAAACUUACGCUAAUACCGCAUACGACCUACGGGUGAAAGCAGGGGAUCUUCGGACCUUGCGCGAUUGAAUGAGCCGAUGUCGGAUUAGCUAGUUGGCGGGGUAAAGGCCCACCAAGGCGACGAUCCGUAGCUGGUCUGAGAGGAUGAUCAGCCACACUGGAACGGAGACACGGUCCAGACUCCUACGGGAGGCAGCAGUGGGGAAUAUUGGACAAUGGUCGCAAGCCUGAUCCAGCCAUACCGCGUGGGUGAAGAAGGCCUUCGGGUUGUAAAGCCCUUUUGUUGGUAAAGAAAAGCAGCAGGUUAAUACCCCGCUGUUCUGACGGUACCCAAAGAAUAAGCACCGGCUAACUUCGUG